rnacentral:rRNA from 1 species
GGACUACACGGGUAUCUAAUCCUGUUUGCUCCCCACGCUGUCGCGCCUCAGUGUCAGCAACGGCCCAGCAGAACGCCUUCGCCGCUGGUAUUCUUCCCGAUCUCUACGCAUUCCACCGCUACACCGGGAAUUCCAUCUGCCCCUACCGUGCUCUAGCUCGCCAGUCUGAUCGGCAGCCCCGGAGUUGAGCCCCGGGAUUUCACCGACCACUUAACGGGCCACCUACGCGCCCUUUACGCCCAGUGAUUCCGGACAACGCUCGCACCCUCCGUAUUACCGCGGCGGCUGGCAC